rnacentral:rRNA from 1 species
UACGAAGGGGACUAGCGUUGUUCGGAUUUACUGGGCGUAAAGCGCGCGUAGGCGGAUCGCUAAGUCAGGGGUGAAAUCCCAGGGCUCAACCCUGGAACUGCCUUUGAUACUGACGAUCUGGAGAUCGGGAGAGGUUGGUGGAAUUCCGAGUGUAGAGGUGAAAUUCGUAGAUAUUCGGAGGAACACCAGAAGCGAAGGCGGCCAACUGGCCCGAUACUGACGCUGAGGCGCGAAAGCCAGGGGAGCGAACGGG